rnacentral:lncRNA from 1 species
GUUUUCUCUAAAGAAAUGGCCAAAGAUGCGAUCAUUUUUAAAGUAAUAAUAUUUCUUCAGGGAUAAAAUAAGGUUUUUGUUUUUCAAUGUAUUUUUACAAAACGAUGCCUACAUGGACUUCAUCAUAGGCUCCCGAAGUCCUGACAGCUGACACAGAGCUCAGGGAGGAAGGAAGGAAACGCGGAAGCUGUGAGAUCCGCCAGUUUUCUGCUGGAGCUUGAGAGCUGAUUUUUACUGUUCGGGUGUCUUUGCAGCCACUAGUAAAGGAGAUAGGCUGCUUCAUCCCAUUCCAGUGAGUGCUUAUUGCUCCUGUUGGAAAAGAUUUAAUUGGGAGGCCAUUAGGCUGAGAUACCUCCAGUGCGAUGGGUUUCUGUAUAAGUGAAUCAAAGCUCAGUGGAAAUAAAAAAAUGGAACUUAAGCUCGACUACUUAGAAAUGAACAACCUCAGAAAUCACCAACUAACCUUGAACUAGGGGCUUUCCCACUUUAACCAAUCCAAUGUAUUUUGUUGGUUUUUAAGGCACUGGGGAUGGAACUUGGGGCCUCACAUGCUAAGCAAGUGCUCCAUCUCUGAGCUACAUCCCUAGGCACAUGAAUUUCCUUUGGACUUCAUCAAAACCUUAUAAAGGUUUCUCACCCCCACCCCCAUUGGAGUACUGGACCACUUCUGCGGUGCAGCCAGACUCAUGAGUUCAAGAAUGCUCAAAUAAACUUGUUAACAUUUUAACACACCCAAGUUUAUCUUUUCACACUUCUCUGCAUGUAGACUGAAGGGACCCGGGCAAUUGAAUUCGGAAGUCCAUAGCUGAAGGUCUCAAUUCAGUGUGCUUGACUGUGAGGCUUUGGAUACCACACUAACCUUGGUUGUCGCCUGCUUUCUGUUACAUGGGGUCAACAGUCAUGACUGAUGCACCUUAAAGUGACUCCCAGAGAAUCAGGCUGGUUUAAUCCCUCCUACCUGAAUGUGGGAGGAGCCUGUGAGCCGCUUCUAGCCCACAGAAUGUGGCAAAGGUGAUUAGGGUACAGGUUUUAAGACUUCAGUAGCAGCCUACAAAGAGACACUAUUCUUACUAACUUCAACUUUAUGAGAGUCCUGUGAGAGGGCCAUGCGACAAGGGACUGUCAGUCAGCCUUUCAGAGCUGAGAGCUGCCCCAGCUGACGCUAGCAAAGAAACAGGGUUCUCAGUCAUACAGCCCCAUGGAGAUGAAUUCUAUCAACAACCUGUAUGAGCCAGCAGAUGGAAGGACAGACCGACUGGCACCUCUAUUUCAGCCUGUGGAAUUCUGAGCAGAAAUCCCAGCUAAGAGAUACCUGGACUCUUGCCCCAGAGAAACUGGGAUAAUAGACAUAUGGGUUUUCUUUGUAAUUAAAAAUGUUUUUAUCAUGAUAAAAUACCACAUAAUGUAAC